GCUGCCGGGCACGUCCGGAGCAGCCAUUUUACACCAGGAAUGCUGGCCUGAGGCGCCCGCGGCCGGGCCUCCGCUCUCGGCUGCCUAUCAGCAACUGAAACUAGAAGGACAAAGGGAAAGAGAAAAACAGUGCCACCCUUAAUGUCAAAGAGAUGUCACCAGUUCAAGGCCAGAGCCUAAUGGAGCAUGAACAAGCAGCUUUCAGCUUCAAAAUAUGAACUCCUUAACUGGAUUACGAGACUUUCACUAUUUCUUCUGGUGGUGGAUCAAAGGUGAGAACCUGAUGGAGAGGCACAAGGGGGAAUGCACAGCCAGAAUCUGCUAACAUUGCCAAAAACAUGAAUCCACUUCACCUGGCUUUGGGAGUGGCUGAAGGAAGAAGAUGCAUUCCAGGACAGAAAGGCACAUCUGAGCUUUACAAUGGGAGUUAGAAAAACUUGCAUCAACAUUAUUUAGAUUUCUUGAAGUAUCUCGUUAUAAAGCUUUGGUCAUAUCCAAAGACGUUUAGUUAAGUGUGUGAAUGUGUGUGUUUUUCUUUUGAGAACUGUGAAAUACCAAGAUAUUUGAUAAUAGAAUGCAUCAGGACCCUUGGGUAGUGGUACUUGGCUGCUAUGUUUUGGGCUUUGCAAGUACAAUGACUGUUUUGGAGAUAGUUUCUUAGCACCUAGUUCUAUGCUUGGCUUUGUGCUGGAUACUGCAGGGCUGUGGAAGACGAGAUGUGUCUUCCAGGCGGCUUCUGUUCAGAGGCUGACACAGAGAUCUCACCUACAACUGAAAAAACUUUGAGCAGGUAUAUAAAUCAAAUGAUGAAAAAGAAUAACACUCCGAACCAGCAUGGGGUAAAUGCUGCAUAUAAAUCUUUGCAUUACUGCAAACCUCGAAGGUACUGCAACUACCCUCAGGUGCUUUGGAACCAUUCCAAAAUGCAUAGUUUAGUUAAAUGCGCCUAUCCAGAUGUUGAGAUAAAAUUAAGAUCUUUCUUGGACUCCAUACUAGAGAACUCCAUCACAUCUCUACAUGACUAAGUCACUUCCUAAAGUGUUUAGUGUGAUGUGAAGUGCCUGGAGGAGAAUUUCAGAGAAGUUGGAAAUGGCUAAAAAGUUAGAAAAGAAGUAUUAUAAGAAAAAAAAUAACUAGAUAAGUCCAUUCUACUUAUAGAAGAGAGCUAAGUGAAAAUAAAAUCUCUUCCCAGGUGGAGUUAAACUAAAACCUCCACAAGCCCCUUAGAAGCCAGAGGAAAGUGGGUGAAGGAAUAAGUAACUUAAAGUGAGCUAGUGGGAAGGACCGAGCAUGAAUCCAAUUUUGUGCUUAAUCUCCUGGCAAAUUGGAAUGGAUCCUCAAAUCUGUAGUACUUUUCUCCAGAAAUCUGGGGAAUUUGAUUAAUAUUUGCUCCACUUUGCCAUGGUACAAUGCCAGCAGGCAGAUAAGAUAUUGGGUAUCUUAUACUAGUUCAAGUUCCCUGGGAUGCAAGUAACAAAAACUGACUAAACAAAAACUGAAAGGGAACUUACUUGAAGGGCUAGGAUAAUCUAUUGAAUGCAAAAGAAAGCUGAAGUCACCAAACCAUGUAAAACAAUUUGGGGAAGGACAAAGCCCAUAAGCCUUCUCUCCCUGGCUUUGAUAUCUAGAUGACUCAAGUCUUCUGUUCUAAGGCAUGUCUCUCUGGCCCCAGGGAGAGAAAAAAAUCUGUUGGGUCUACCAGCAGCCCUGACUGAUUGUGAGGCCAGGAGCCAAAACAGGGACAGAAUAUAGACAUGGUAGCUGGGUGUCAACUCCUAUCUUUUAGGAGUAGUUGCCAGAGGAGAGGGGACCCCUGAAAGCCAUUCCCAGAGAGGUCUACAGCUCCCAAAAAGAGGCUGUUUAUUACAACAGUGCCCAGUGAGUUGUUUCUAAACUCCAUGGGUUGAGGGUAGGGAGACAGGGAGAAAGAGAAAAGAAGGGUAUACAUCAGAGGAAGAAGCAUUUGCAUUUACUCUGACAGAGAAUAUUGUGAUGAAGAAUGUUGUU